UAGUGGAAGUUAAAGUUGAAUUUUUAACUGCUCAAGUCACGUGAUUAGAGAGCCAGAAAAUUUCUCAUAGAAGGUCCAGUUUCUUAGCUGUUCACAUGAAAUUAUUCUAUAUUAUUCGCUGAAAAAAUAUUUUGUAGACUAGUAGCAUUGAUGUAAAAUAGUAGGGGUAACAAAGAGGACAGUUGACGGCAAAAAAAAACGACUACACAGGGUCAUGUGAUUCUAAGCCUCCUCUUAUGGAAGAACAUAUUGUUUUGGAUCACUCAAUUUUGGAGCAGGUAGAAAAAAACAUUUCAGUGUAUUUUGGAUACAAACAACCAAAUGAGUGACUUUUUCAGUGAAGAUGUUAAGCAGUACUUUAAGCAUUGCUUUUUUAAUCUCAGUGGGAAUGAUGGCUGUGGAAUAUCAAUGUUCUUUUACAGGUCUUCAUGUGUGCCUGUUUCUACUUUUUGGAUAUAUUUCACAGUCUAAUUUAUGUAGUGAAUAUUAGCAUGAAUUAUUUUCUUAAUUCAUUACAAUCUUCAUUUCCUAUGUCCUAAAAAUAAACAAAAAGUUAUAACUGAUAAAUUAAGAAUGAAACUAUAAUGUCUAAGUUCUUUAUGACUUUUGUGGGCUAAGUAAUACAUAUUAAAAUACAUUAUGGUUUUGUAUUGUGAACAUGAAAUUAUAAAACACUUUAUAAUUUUUACUUCAUUUGAAUUACGAUGUUGAUGUGAACUGGUUUUUAAACAAAAUAGCGAAAAGUUGAACCUUAUAAUUUAAUAUAAGUGUAGUUUUAUCAAUUUUAAGCAAUCACUGUUUCUCAGUCUUAGCUCUCAUGAUUUCCUUUAUCUCAGCUUUGAAAAGUGUAAGAUGAAAAUAAAUAUUUUUAUUCUUAGUUUGAAAA